rnacentral:rRNA from 1 species
UACAGAGGUCCCAAGCGUUGUUCGGAUUCACUGGGCGUAAAGGGUGCGUAGGUGGCGGGGUAAGUUUGAUGUGAAAGCUCAGGGCUUAACCCUGAAAUGGCAUUGAAUACUACUCUGCUGGAGGUUUGGAGGGGGGACUGGAAUUCUUGGUGUAGCAGUGAAAUGCGUAGAUAUCAAGAGGAACACCAGUGGCGAAGGCGGGUCUCUGGGCCGAUACUGACGCUGAGGAGCGAAAGCGUGGGGAGCGAACAGG